AGGGUUAUAGCUCAGUGGUAGAGUGCCUGCCCCGCAUGCAUGGGGUGCUGGGUUCGAUCCUCAGCAACACAU
rnacentral:tRNA from 1 species